rnacentral:rRNA from 1 species
GGGUUGUGAGGUUAAGCGACUAAGCGUACACGGUGGAUGCCCUGGCAGUCAGAGGCGAUGAAGGACGUGCUAAUCUGCGAAAAGCGCCGGCGAGGUGAUAUGAACCCUUGACCCGGCGAUGUCCGAAUGGGGAAACCCAGUGCAAUUCGUUGCACUAUCGUUAACUGAAUACAUAGGUUAACGAGGCGAACCGGGGGAACUGAAACAUCUAAGUACCCGAGGAAAAGAAAUCAACCGAGAUUCCCCCAGUAGCGGCGAGCGAACGGGGAGCAGCCCGGAGUCUGAAUCAGCUUGUGUGUUAGUGGAACGGUCUGGAAAGUCCGACGGUACAGGGUGAUAGUCCCGUACACGAAAGCACACAUGCUGUGAACUCGAAGAGUAGGGCGGGACACGUGGUAUCCUGUCUGAAUAUGGGGGACCAUCCUCCAAGGCUAAAUACUCCUGACUGACCGAUAGUGAACCAGUACCGUGAGGGAAAGGCGAAAAGAACCCCGGCGAGGGGAGUGAAAAAGAACCUGAAACCGUGUACGUACAAGCAGUGGGAGCCUCUUUAUGGGGUGACUGCGUACCUUUUGUAUAAUGGGUCAGCGACUUAUAUUCUGUAGCAAGGUUAACCGUAUAGGGGAGCCGAAGGGAAACCGAGUCUUAACUGGGCGUUAAGUUGCAGGGUAUAGACCCGAAACCCGGUGAUCUAGCCAUGGGCAGGUUGAAGGUUGGGUAACACUAACUGGAGGACCGAACCGACUAAUGUUGAAAAAUUAGCGGAUGACCUGUGGCUGGGGGUGAAAGGCCAAUCAAACCGGGAGAUAGCUGGUUCUCCCCGAAAGCUAUUUAGGUAGCGCCUCGUGAACUCAUCUUCGGGGGUAGAGCACUGUUUCGGCUAGGGGGCCAUCCCGGCUUACCAACCCGAUGCAAACUACGAAUACCGAAGAAUGUUAUCACGGGAGACACACGGCGGGUGCUAACGUCCGUCGUGAAGAGGGAAACAACCCAGACCGCCAGCUAAGGUCCCAAAGUCAUGGUUAAGUGGGAAACGAUGUGGGAAGGCACAGACAGCCAGGAUGUUGGCUUAGAAGCAGCCAUCAUUUAAAGAAAGCGUAAUAGCUCACUGGUCGAGUCGGCCUGCGCGGAAGAUGUAACGGGGCUAAACCAUGCACCGAAGCUGCGGCAGCGACACUAUGUGUUGUUGGGUAGGGGAGCGUUCUGUAAGCCGUUGAAGGUGUGCUGUGAGGCAUGCUGGAGGUAUCAGAAGUGCGAAUGCUGACAUAAGUAACGAUAAAGCGGGUGAAAAGCCCGCUCGCCGGAAGACCAAGGGUUCCUGUCCAACGUUAAUCGGGGCAGGGUGAGUCGACCCCUAAGGCGAGGCCGAAAGGCGUAGUCGAUGGGAAACAGGUUAAUAUUCCUGUACUUGGUGUUACUGCGAAGGGGGACGGAGAAGGCUAUGUCAGCCGGGCGACGGUUGUCCCGGUUUAAGCAUGUAGGCGGAGGUUCCAGGUAAAUCCGGUACCUUAUUAACGCUGAGGUGUGAUGACGAGGCACUACGGUGCUGAAGUGAUAAAUGCCCUGCUUCCAGGAAAAGCCUCUAAGCAUCAGGUAACACGAAAUCGUACCCCAAACCGACACAGGUGGUCAGGUAGAGAAUACCAAGGCGCUUGAGAGAACUCGGGUGAAGGAACUAGGCAAAAUGGUGCCGUAACUUCGGGAGAAGGCACGCUGAUGUGUAGGUGAAGCCCCUGCGGGUGGAGCUGAAAUCAGUCGAAGAUACCAGCUGGCUGCAACUGUUUAUUAAAAACACAGCACUGUGCAAACACGAAAGUGGACGUAUACGGUGUGACGCCUGCCCGGUGCCGGAAGGUUAAUUGAUGGGGUUAGCGGCAACGCGAAGCUCUUGAUCGAAGCCCCGGUAAACGGCGGCCGUAACUAUAACGGUCCUAAGGUAGCGAAAUUCCUUGUCGGGUAAGUUCCGACCUGCACGAAUGGCGUAAUGAUGGCCAGGCUGUCUCCACCCGAGACUCAGUGAAAUUGAACUCGCUGUGAAGAUGCAGUGUACCCGCGGCAAGACGGAAAGACCCCGUGAACCUUUACUAUAGCUUGACACUGAACACUGGUCCUUGAUGUGUAGGAUAGGUGGGAGGCUUUGAAGCGUGGACGCCAGUCUGCGUGGAGCCGCCCUUGAAAUACCACCCUUUAAUGGCUGGUGUUCUAACGUGGACCCGUAAUCCGGGUUGCGGACAGUGUCUGGUGGGUAGUUUGACUGGGGCGGUCUCCUCCCAAAGAGUAACGGAGGAGCACGAAGGUUGGCUAAUCCUGGUCGGACAUCAGGAGGUUAGUGCAAUGGCAUAAGCCAGCUUGACUGCGAGCGUGACGGCGCGAGCAGGUGCGAAAGCAGGUCAUAGUGAUCCGGUGGUUCUGAAUGGAAGGGCCAUCGCUCAACGGAUAAAAGGUACUCCGGGGAUAACAGGCUGAUACCGCCCAAGAGUUCAUAUCGACGGCGGUGUUUGGCACCUCGAUGUCGGCUCAUCACAUCCUGGGGCUGAAGUAGGUCCCAAGGGUAUGGCUGUUCGCCAUUUAAAGUGGUACGCGAGCUGGGUUUAGAACGUCGUGAGACAGUUCGGUCCCUAUCUGCCGUGGGCGCUGGAGAAUUGAGGGGGCUGCUCCUAGUACGAGAGGACCGGAGUGGACGCAUCACUGGUGUUCGGGUUGUCAUGCCAAUGGCACUGCCCGGUAGCUAAAUGCGGAAGAGAUAAGUGCUGAAAGCAUCUAAGCACGAAACUUGCCCCGAGAUGAGUUCUCCCUGAGACUUUAAGUCUCCUGAAGGAACGUUGAAGACGACGACGUUGAUAGGUCGGGUGUGUAAGCGCAGCGAUGCGUUGAGCUAACCGAUACUAAUGAACCGUGAGGCUUAACCUUACAACGCCGAAGGUGUUU